rnacentral:lncRNA from 1 species
UAGGCAGGCAGCGGCGGCGUCGUGACACCGGCGACGACGGCGAGGGUCUCUGCUUUUGGUGCAUCUUUUUGGUUUGCCCCCUUGGAUUAUGGCAGUAUUACUGUGGGGAGGAUCGGCGAAGAGAUAUGGUUUAGGCUGGGGUUAUUAUGAGGCAAUGCAGGGUGUAAGAUGAUAAUUAAGUAGCUGUUCCUGAACUGGUUUACUCCACCACUCUCACUGGCACUCAUGGAGCUGUGAUGCUUCUGUCGGUGGAGAUGGAGAUGGGCAAAGCAGUACUAUUAUGAGAGACAUGUACGUAGUAAGGAGUAGUAUUAAGCAGUAAUGCCCAAUGAGACGCAAAGUUGUUACUUUAAGCUGCUAUCUCGCACAUGAGUUGGUGUCUGUUUACCUCCAACUUUUCAAUCGGUUUCGAGUAGCGACGCUUACAAACUGUUCGAAUUCCUGCUAUCCACAGCACUAAAUUGCUAGGUAAACUAAGCCAUACGAAUUAUGGGAAUAGCAUGAAAAAUUGAAAACACGCACGCACGGAGUUGCCCGAUCGAGCUCCAUUUCAUAGAGAUGUACACCUUGCACAAAAGCAGGUUAACAUCUCUUGGCGUCACAAACCAUUGGUCUCAACAGGUGCUCGCGGAUAAAUGUACAUCUAGCUCUUGUCUUAAGUCGAAGUUUUGAAACUUUAACCAACUUUAUAGGAAAACUAGUAGCAUUUAUGGCACUAAAUUCGCAUCACUAGAUUCGUUUUAAAAUGUACUUUCAUAAUAUACCAAUUUGAUGUCAUGUAUGCUAUUACUCUUUUCUAUAAAGUAUUAAAAUUAUAAAACUUUGACUUAAUACCAAAAGCAGAUGUACAUUUAUUCACACGGAACGAGUAGUCUUAAAGCCAACAUUUCAGCACUAAAAGCAUUUCUAGCCUUUCCAUAAACUUAACUCCUCAAAUCACCUUCUAUAAUUAAUACUUUUGGGACCGUCUAUUUAACAGGUGCCUAAAAAAUGUUUUCAAGAGUCACUUCUUUCCCACCAUCGGAUCAAUAUCCAACGGCUUCAAUCAUGCCGCGGACUGUUCAGCUUCUUCCUUCCGACGACAGUUUCUCCUCCCCCGGCAGCCUAUCUCGCCCCAUCCGCCUGCCUCCAUCCCCCGUGGCCGGCGGGCGCUACCGUACACUGCCUCGCCGCCCCGCUCUCUCCCUCAACCCCCCUCCACCAACGUUGCUGGCCCACCGCCUCGGCCAUCCUUCUAAGCCCCACACCACCGGUGAAAACUCCGGCGAUUCCCUUCACCCCAUCCCUAAGAUAGAUAAUGGGGCCGUGACUCCCCCUAAAAUAGAUAGUGGGGCUAUGGCUUUCUCCGGCGAGCUCAGAAUGAACUAGAGAAAGUGACCGACGCGAAGAAAAUUUUCAGGCACCUGAGAUAUAGCAAAAUCGAACCUUUUUAAAAUUUGUGGAGUUAAACAUUCUUGCGCCUAGCCCUUCUCCUAAUCUUAACUCACUAUAUGUUCUACCUAUCUCAUCCAUCUUUCUGCAUAGGCAUUUCCACACCAUUUCAAGUUUUCAACAAUAUUCUAUUGGCACCACUACCACUAGUGUACCCACCAAAGAACCUCAAUCUUGCCAAGAUCUCUCCAGGAACAAUUUACCAAUCUUGUCUCAUCCUUUCAUUCAUACUUGGUUAUUGGCACUACACUGGUCGGUGAGUUGUUCACUUGCUCAACACAAUCGGACCAUCGAUUGCACUGAUCUUGGAUGCUACUUCAGCGAUGAGCAGAGAUACCCUAGCGUGUGAUUGGAUGGAAUCAGAACAUUGUGUGAAUAGUAUUGCUUAAUCCUCUUCCAUAAUAUUUCCUUGGUUUGAUCGGCUCCUCCAGCCCUGGCAUCAAGAGAGAUAUGUUCAUUCAAGCAUUGCAUAAAGUUAUGUCCUCCUCAACCUUGUAGUUCACCGACCUUGUUAGCUCUCUCUUCAUGGUAUGUGUGUGGUUACCCUCUACUUUGGCACUAUGUCUCUCUCCUUGGCUUUCAUCUGCCACAGAAAUGACAACGUCGUUGAGGUCAAUGGCGUUCCUUUCAUCCAGCGCCAUGAAUUUUUCCAGGUCACCCAACUCGUUUUGCAUAGUACGAUGUCAAAAGCCAUCACCAAAUUCAAUAUCACAUGAUCCAAGAUUUUGAGAAAAAAUAAUAAUACAAAAACACUUACCUAUAUGGCAUUGUGUCCAACACCUCACGAGCAUAUGAUCAUUCUCAUCACAUGAACUACCAUAGAUGGUUUUGCAAAAUUAAACAAUCCAACAUUCUCGAUCACAACACACGAUUUUUGCACCAAUAAACAACCAGACACUUCUAAUGGGAGGGAUGACUGCAAAAACUAGAAGUGCUACUCAACCUACACUAAACAACAUCAACAAGAAGCUCUUCUCAAACGACAUGACCAAAGCAAACUAGGGAUACAAAUGCACUAUGACAAGUAGUGCCGAUCGCACAACCAUGGAACUAAACCUGAUAUACAAUCCAUAAGACAUCCAGUACGACAUCGUCGUGGAUCCUAGGUUGUCGUGACCUCCCUUCCUCGCGCAAACGACUCCGCGAGGAAAGACAAUCCACCUAGUCUCAGUGUCCAUACCUACAAGAGCCCUGAUCACCUCAGAUUGCUUCAUAAUGACUUUUAUGGUAUGCAAUAUAUACUUUUGAAAAAUACUUAUACUCUGAUAUUCGGUUGUUGGGGCCAAUGUAUCUGAGCUAAAACCACAACAUUGUCGAACAAUGAUGUUUUCUUGAUGGUGUGGUUAUGUGACGUGAUUACAGCUAGGACACACUCUGUGAUGAAUGUGAAUGAUAACGCAAAGGAAAGAAUUCCUCCAUACCUGCGAGUGUAACACUGCAACAUGUACUGAUGCAGGUCUGGAUGACUUUUUUCUUGAUGGGUGAAGGGGUGGAUGUCCUGAGCACUAAAUGCUUUGAGAAGAUUUUCCAUGCGGCGAUGAAGACAAACCAAAGCACAACAGCUCGCCGGAGAUGAAUGAUGUGGCUUACAUAUAUACAUUAGUGCAAUAUGACUUGUAGAAAACAGCAAAAAAGUAUGACUUACAGAAUAUACCACCAAUAUUUAUAAAUAAAUGACUUGCUAGUGGAUACCUUACUCUACCAACCAUGAACAACUUACAAUUAGUGGACUUGGCCAACCCCCCUCCCCUAUAGUAUGUUUUGGUAGGGGGCUAUGCCCCCCCACCCUCCACUUCAUGACAGCACGCUAUAAUUCUGUAGCCACCCUAGCAUUAUUCACCAUUGGUGAUGUGUACCUACAUAGUGGCCGUGCUAAGCAGGAUCGUUGGGUUUCUCCUCGCGGUCGUUGCGAUGGAGUUGGCGCUCACCACGGGGACGUGAGUGUCAUAUGACCAUUUUUCAUGUUUAAUAUUAUGAUUGUCACUGUGUUGAUGAUGCCACUGAUAACUCAACGAGCAGCGAUGACGCCGCCGUCCGUCGCCCCUGACCAUGUCCCACAGCUAAGAUGGCCACCUUGGCAUAUGUUGUCCCAUUGUUUGUAUUGAUGAGUCCAAACGCGUACCACUUGAGCUGACUGAAGAUGCGUGGUAGGGUGGCUACAGAUAGCAGGACGAUCAGUAUGUAGGUACCCAUCAUCAACGGUGCAUGGUAGGGUGGCUACGUAAAUAUAGCGUGCUGUCAUGAAGUGGGAGGGGGGAGGGGGGGCAUAGCCCCCUACCCUAACAUACAAUGGGGAAAGGGGGGGAGGGGGUGUUGGCCAAGUCCACUAAUCCUAAAUUAACUAGUUGUAAGUUGUUCAUGGUUGAUAGAGUAAGGUAUCCACUAGCAAGUCAUUUAUUUAUAAAUAUUGGUGUUAUAUUCUACAAGUCGUAUUGCACUAAUGUAUAUAUGUAAAGUACAUGUAAAAGCACUUGGUGACGACUUGAGACUUUUUUUAAACAUUGCCAGUUUUCUAUAUUAUUUUAAAAAUCUUUUUCGUUGAAAAAUAUUUUUUGCCUUCAUAUUUGUGUGUUUCCUACUGACGGGCUUUCUUUGUUGUUGGGAUUUGCUUUGUUGCAUCAUUCUAUAGGACAACAAGAGACUUAUAAAUAUUCCGUAGAAGCCCAAGACAUUGGUUUUUAAAUAAGAAAAAUCGAGAGAGUGAAUAUGAAGGUCCCUGCAGAUUGUCAAUAAGAAAAAGGAAAAUUCUUAACAUUUCAAUUCAAUUGAACUUUUGACAUCCCAACAUUUAAAUGGUAAAUUACAGUACUUGUAUACAUUGAAUGCCCUAAGAAAAGGAAAACUCCCAACAUUUAAAUUCCAAAAAAGUUCAAUUUAAACCACUCUAAAAUAUUCUCAGUUCCGAAAGUACCAAUGAUAUUUUGCACCGGUUUCCAUAUUUUCUAAAAUACAUGACAUAAAUUGUCGAUCAAAGGAUCGUCACAAAAAAAUGUACCAUGUAUUUUGAAACGGAUGGAGCAUGUUACCAUCGCUAGCUGGCCGUUAAAUGACUAUCAAUUGGCUACUGAAAAGGCGAUGUUGCAACAGUUGCACAUUUGUACGGUUACGUUUGCACACAUAUUAUUUGUGCAACUGUGGUCUAUAAUAAAUUUAUUCAAACAUACGAUAAAUAUAGAUAUAGGACAACUUUAGGGUACUAAAGUUUUAUAAAAUAUAAAAACUAUAAAUCAUUGCAGGCAAAUAAAGACUCUCUUUUUAAACACCAAUAUUUAAAUUGUACAUUACAAUAGUAUAUAUGGGAAUACACAAAACCACUAUGGAGCAUAAUAUCGCACACAUGGCGCUGCAGUGCUGUUCCCUACCAUUAGAUAUUGAAAGCGAUUGUCUUGAGGCAGUCAUGAUGAUCAAGAGUAGAGAAGGCAACUGUCACGACCGGUUUUUCAAUAAAAUAUUUAUUGAGAGACCAAUCCCUUUUACGGACCAGUAAAGAAGAAUUCCUUCUCACUGCUAGACAAUAUCUUGGUCACAGAAGAAAAAUACCAGGAGUACUGAAUAUAAUACAAGGUUGAGCGGAGACUGCUCAACAAUUUAUUACAUGAACGCCGAUAAAACAUAACGGCGGAUAGGGUGGCAUAACUACUAACUCACGAUAACAACGGUGGUGGAAAUAUCACCGCGAAGUGGGUGAUAUGACUCCUGAAAACUACAGCUCUUCGAGCGUCGGAGUGAGGCUCGAGGAGACUUAUUGCGGGUGGCGGAAGCGUAUAUAACACAAGUGACCAAACUCCAGGAUCACACGGGACUGACUGGGACUCCUCUAGGCGUCGGAUGCACUAUCAAACUCUUCAUCCAAGAGAUCGCCUUCGUCAAUAUCUGGCCAAAUCAACAAGCCAGGUGAGUACUAUGAAAGUACUCGCAAGACAGUUCGGACAUAGGAUAUAACAAGUGUAAACAUGAAGCAUAUGAACAGAUUAACAAGUGCAUUCAGACAUAGAGACAAAAAUGCAUAGGGAAUAAAAGAGAAGCCGGGCGGUAGUCCUCCCGAAAUCCCAAAUUAAAUACUGGGUGCCAAACGAGGGUCUGAAUGACUCCUCGAGAGGAAAAUGCAAGAAUAACAAUGCCGCAGUCGGGCGUCAGGGCGACACCACAUAAAGGGCUUAUAAUAGAAAAUAAAGGAUAGUACGUGCCACAGUCGGACGUCUGAGCGACAUCGCAAAAA